GAAAGGUGAUUUUCAAAUGGGUGAUAUCAUAACUAUAAAGUUCUUGAUCAAUAAAUUUUGGCUUUUACUACUUCACAAGCCUCUUUAAAAUUUGGUUUUAGAAAUCACUAAUUAACCACUAGGCCAGCCAUCUUCGAGAAGACACAAGUUACCUUAAUUUGAAAUAAUAAUUCUAAUUACAAAACCUUCUUGCUUACCACCAAAACUCAAUAACUUAUGUACUCCACAAUUCCCAUUUUGUGAUAUCAUUUAAAUUUGGUUUUUGUCUACUUUAAUUAUUCAAUAUAUCGAUCCUUUUUCGGCCCAUCACUAAAACAUCAUUUUCUAUUUUUUGAGUUUCCAAAAUUUUGCUUCACUAUAUAACACUGUCCAUCUACCAUAUUCAUAAAUGAGAGAGAGAGAGAGAGAGAGAAAUAAGAAAAAUGAAGUCCUUGGCUUGGAUUUUAAUCCUCUUAGUAUUAUGCACAUCUAAUUUCAUAACAGCUUUUGCUCAUCAAGAUCUUGAUAUGCUAAGGAGCAAAGAUUUACUGAUUUCGUCGUUCCCGAAUAUGGAAAUAACACAUGAUUCUGGCCAUGCAAGAAAGCUCACGACAGUGGAGGAGAUCACCUUUACCGGUAAGGGGCAGAAAGGGAAAGGCGCAUACGGAGGUGCCAACGUUGUUCACAAGCGGCCAGGCGAGAAGAACGCUGCGCCAACCUAUAGGCUUUGCUUAUUUUUAUUCGCCGCCGUUGUUGGUUUCAGCUUCUUCUCAUGAACAACAAGUAUUGUGUGUUUUAUAGUCUUUGAGUUUAUUUUUUCUUUGUAUUUGUUGCUAUAUUUGGUUGCUGAUUGCCUGCUUGUUUGGUACUACUAAAUAGCGUGUGGCAUUGAUGAAACAGAAGAUUGUGUUUUAUUAUAUUUUCUUGUAGAAUUUAUUUUGAUUAAUACAAACAUUGGAAACAAAGAUCGUGCUA